rnacentral:rRNA from 2 species
CUGGAGGUAUCAGAAGUGCGAAUGCUGACAUAAGUAACGAUAAAGCGGGUGAAAAGCCCGCUCGCCGGAAGACCAAGGGUUCCUGUCCAACGUUAAUCGGGGCAGGGUGAGUCGACCCCUAAGGCGAGGCCGAAAGGCGUAGUCGAUGGGAAACGGGUUAAUAUUCCCGUACUUGGUGUUACUGCGAAGGGGGGACGGAGAAGGCUAUGUUGGCCGGGCGACGGUUGUCCCGGUUUAAGCGUGUAGGUGUGUGUUCCAGGUAAAUCCGGUUCACUUUAACACUGAGGCGUGACGACGAGGCACUACGGUGCUGAAGCAACAAAUGCCCUGCUUCCAGGAAAAGCCUCUAAGCAUCAGGUAACAUCAAAUCGUACCCCAAACCGACACAGGUGGUCAGGUAGAGAAUACCAAGGCGCUUGAGAGAACUCGGGUGAAGGAACUAGGCAAAAUGGUGCCGUAACUUCGGGAGAAGGCACGCUGACACGUAGGUGAAGUGAUUUACUCACGGAGCUGAAGUCAGUCGAAGAUACCAGCUGGCUGCAACUGUUUAUUAAAAACACAGCACUGUGCAAACACGAAAGUGGACGUAUACGGUGUGACGCCUGCCCGGUGCCGGAAGGUUAAUUGAUGGGGUCAGCGCAAGCGAAGCUCCUGAUCGAAGCCCCGGUAAACGGCGGCCGUAACUAUAACGGUCCUAAGGUAGCGAAAUUCCUUGUCGGGUAAGUUCCGACCUGCACGAAUGGCGUAAUGAUGGCCAGGCUGUCUCCACCCGAGACUCAGUGAAAUUGAACUCGCUGUGAAGAUGCAGUGUACCCGCGGCAAGACGGAAAGACCCCGUGAACCUUUACUAUAGCUUGACACUGAACAUUGAGCCUUGAUGUGUAGGAUAGGUGGGAGGCUUUGAAGCGUGGACGCCAGUCUGCGUGGAGCCGACCUUGAAAUACCACCCUUUAAUGUUUGAUGUUCUAACGUGGACCCGUGAUCCGGGUUGCGGACAGUGUCUGGUGGGUAGUUUGACUGGGGCGGUCUCCUCCUAAAGAGUAACGGAGGAGCACGAAGGUUGGCUAAUCCUGGUCGGACAUCAGGAGGUUAGUGCAAUGGCAUAAGCCAGCUUGACUGCGAGCGUGACGGCGCGAGCAGGUGCGAAAGCAGGUCAUAGUGAUCCGGUGGUUCUGAAUGGAAGGGCCAUCGCUCAACGGAUAAAAGGUACUCCGGGGAUAACAGGCUGAUACCGCCCAAGAGUUCAUAUCGACGGCGGUGUUUGGCACCUCGAUGUCGGCUCAUCACAUCCUGGGGCUGAAGUAGGUCCCAAGGGUAUGGCUGUUCGCCAUUUAAAGUGGUACGCGAGCUGGGUUUAGAACGUCGUGAGACAGUUCGGUCCCUAUCUGCCGUGGGCGCUGGAGAACUGAGGGGGGCUGCUCCUAGUACGAGAGGACCGGAGUGGACGCAUCACUGGUGUUCGGGUUGUCAUGCCAAUGGCACUGCCCGGUAGCUAAAUGCGGAAGAGAUAAGUGCUGAAAGCAUCUAAGCACGAAACUUGCCCCGAGAUGAGUUCUCCCUGAGACUUUAGGUCUCCUGAAGGAACGUUGAAGACGACGACGUUGAUAGGCCGGGUGUGUAAGCGCAGCGAUGCGUUGAGCUAACCGGUACUAAUGAACCGUGAGGCUUAACCUUACAACGCCGA